rnacentral:lncRNA from 10 species
UAACCCUGGGUAACAGGCACACUUCCUAUAUUUAAAUAAGAAGACUAAAACUUAAGGAGUAAUUUGCCAAGGGUGGUAAGUAGGUGAGCUAGGAUUUGAACUCAGACUUAUCUUAUUACAAAGCCUUUGGUCUCAACCCCUAGGUUAUAUGAGUUCAGAUACAAAUUUAAAUUGGGACUCAUAAGAAUACACAUGCAGGAGAUACAUGUAGUUAGGUGAAAUUGUUAAUUAUUUCUACCUAUAUGAAGCUAGUUUUUACCAUUGAUAAAACAGGGAUGAGAAUUACCUAGCUCAUCGGGUUUAAGCUAAACACUGUUAAUGAAAAUGCCUUAUAAACUCUGAAGUGUAAAUAAUUACAAAAUGCUACUACAUGGAUUGAUAAUGGCUAUGGGAGGCAGACACGCACAUACGUAUCCUUACACAUACAUAUAUCAGCAUGAGGUUACAGCUUGCUUGAGUGACUGGGCAAGCCAUACCUAACCAGUCAAUUAGUACACUGAAAAUCCAUGUGCCAUUCAUAUAUCUUAGGUACUAUUGUAGAGAAAACAAAUAACAGAAAAAAUUGUCCAUGAAGUAUCGGAUUAAGAAUGAACAGCUAAUGAAUUGGAGGAGAAAUCAAGAGGGAACAAACUUACAAAAAGAGUUUCCUAACCAUCUAGUUUAAUGAACUCACCAAAACUUUGAAAAGAAAGUGGUAACUGAAUUAUUUCAUAAGAAAACAUUUGAGACAUAUUUUGAAUUCUUAUCAGAUUUAAUAAAUGUGAAACCCUAGGAUCUUGUAGUUUUCUUGCUAGCAGUUGACAUUAAUGAACUUUGGACAACUCAGUGCAUCACUGUAUAAUAUGCCUUUUCCUCCAAUGUAGAAAAUCUUCAAGCUUUGUAUAAGUUGACUUAUGUAUAUUUUUAAAAUGAAUGUUCUCAUUUGUCUAGAAAUUUACCCAAGCAUUUAUAGAUCUCUUUUUCUAUGUCUGGUACCCUGCUAAGCACAGUGAGGGAUACAAACAAAUACACACACUGACCCACCCCCCGACACAUACCCUCAAACUGAAAAAUAUAAUGCCAUUUUUGAAUUCUACCAAAUGUCAAAAAAAGAAUUAACCUCAAUCCUUUUCAAAUCCCUCCAAGAAACAGAAGAAGAGGAAAUAUUCCUAACUCUUCAUAUUAGGCCAGUACCCUGAUACCAAAGC